UACGUAGGGUGCAAGCGUUAAUCGGAAUUACUGGGCGUAAAGCGUGCGCAGGCGGUUCUAUAAGACAGAUGUGAAAUCCCCGGGCUCAACCUGGGAACUGCAUUUGUGACUGUAGAGCUGGAGUGCGGCAGAGGGGGAUGGAAUUCCGCGUGUAGCAGUGAAAUGCGUAGAGAUGCGGAGGAACACCGAUGGCGAAGGCAGCCCCCUGGGCUGACACUGACGCUCAGGCACGAAAGCGUGGGGAGCAAACAGG
rnacentral:rRNA from 1 species